rnacentral:rRNA from 1 species
GAUGAACGCUGGCGGCGUGCCUAAUACAUGCAAGUCGAGCGAACAGACGAGGAGCUUGCUCCUCUGACGUUAGCGGCGGACGGGUGAGUAACACGUGGAUAACCUACCUAUAAGACUGGGAUAACUUCGGGAAACCGGAGCUAAUACCGGAUAAUAUAUUGAACCGCAUGGUUCAAUAGUGAAAGACGGUUUUGCUGUCACUUAUAGAUGGAUCCGCGCCGCAUUAGCUAGUUGGUAAGGUAACGGCUUACCAAGGCAACGAUGCGUAGCCGACCUGAGAGAGUGAUCGGCCACACUGGAACUGAGACACGGUCCAGACUCCUACGGGAGGCAGCAGUAGGGAAUCUUCCGCAAUGGGCGAAAGCUUGACGGAGCAACGCCGCGUGAGUGAUGAAGGUCUUCGGAUCGUAAAACUCUGUUAUUAGGGAAGAACAAAUGUGUAAGUAACUAUGCACGUCUUGACGGUACCAAAUCAGAAAGCCACGGCUAACUACGUG